AGAGUUUGAUCAUGGCUCAGAGUGAACGCUGGCGGUAGGCCUAACACAUGCAAGUCGAACGGCAGCGCAGGAGAGCUUGCUCUCUGGGUGGCGAGUGGCGGACGGGUGAGGAAUACAUCGGAAUCUACUCUGUCGUGGGGGAUAACGUAGGGAAACUUACGCUAAUACCGCAUACGACCUACGGGUGAAAGUGGGGGACCGCAAGGCCUCACGCGAUAGAAUGAGCCGAUGUCGGAUUAGCUAGUUGGCGGGGUAAAGGCCCACCAAGGCGACGAUCCGUAGCUGGUCUGAGAGGAUGAUCAGCCACACUGGAACUGAGACACGGUCCAGACUCCUACAGGAGGCAGCAGUGGGGAAUAUUGGACAAUGGGCGCAAGCCUGAUCCAGCCAUACCGCGUGAGUGAAGAAGGCCCUCGGGUUGUAAAGCUCUUUUGUUGGGAAAGAAAUCCUGUUGGCUAAUACCCGGCAGGGAUGACGGUACCCAAAGAAUAAGCACCGGCUAACUUCGUGCCAGCAGCCGCGGUAAUACGAAGGGUGCAAGCGUUACUCGGAAUUACUGGGCGUAAAGCGUGCGUAGGCGGCUUGUCGCGUCGGUUGUGAAAGCCCGGGGCUUAACCCCGGGUCUGCAGUCGAUACGGGCAGGCUAGAGUUCGGUAGGGGAGAUCGGAAUUCCUGGUGUAGCGGUGAAAUGCGCAGAUAUCAGGAGGAACACCGGUGGCGAAGGCGGAUCUCUGGGCCGAUACUGACGCUGAGGAGCGAAAGCGUGGGGAGCGAACAGGAUUAGAUACCCUGGUAGUCCACGCCGUAAACGGUGGGCACUAGGUGUGGGCAACAUUCCACGUUGUCCGUGCCGCAGCUAACGCAUUAAGUGCCCCGCCUGGGGAGUACGGCCGCAAGGCUAAAACUCAAAGGAAUUGACGG
rnacentral:rRNA from 1 species